GGCCCAAAUAGGAAGCGAAAGUCAGAUUCCCUUAAUUUGAUUUUCUUAGUCGGUUGAAGGAGGUCUGCCUUUGUUGCUUUUGUCGGUUUAAUAAACAAAACCCUAACUCCCUCGCUUAUCUUCGUCAUUCUCUCAAAAACCCCAAGCCCCAAAAUAGAGAACCCCAAACCCAUCAUUCUCUCUCCCGUAAAACCACACCCCUGCUUGCUCUACUUCAGGCGGCUACAGCCUCGGCCGAAGUUUAGCCCCCACCUUGCUGCUCGUCGGAGCUGUGCUAAUCGUCGGACCACGACCAUGGCGUCUGUCACAGUCUCUCUCUCUGACUCCUCACAUGGUUGCUGCACUUGCCAGAAUUGCGACGCACUACCUUCUUGUCGUAUGUACAUCUAGCAGAUCUUUGAGUUGCAGAAUUGACAUUAAGAAGGCAUUGGAAAUUGAUCCUGACAACAGGGAUGUGAAACUGGAAUACAAGAAGUUGAAAGAGAAGAUUAGAGAAUACAAUAAAAAGGACGCACAAUUCUAUGGGAAAAUGUUCUCAAAGAUAGCUUGAGUCAAUAAAAUGUUUCCAAGGAGGCUGAUUGAUGGUCGACAAGUCAUACUACGUCUGAUUUGCGCCGAUUCGCCGCACCUGCGGCGGUGCAUUGUCUUGUCACCGAAACAUACCUCGCUUGUGUUGUUCAUCCGCGCUCCAAAUGAGCAGAUGUAAAACGUAGUACCUAUUCAUUCCAAUUUCUGAUUUCUUUUUAAAAUUUACAAAUAUCAAGCCCAAGUUAAGUUAUUGUUGUUAUUGUUGUUGUUGGUAGUUUUGUUCUAUUGUUGUUGGGAUUGUGGUGGUGGUGGUGGUGAUGUGCCACGGUUGUCGGAUGUUGUUGUUUGUGCUGUUUUGUUGUUGUUCUGUCGUGGUUGUAAUGGGUUGUUGUGGGGCAGUUUUACACUACCAAAACGUCGUCAUGUCAUGUUAGUGCUACUGUCGAUUUAUGGUUGUUGUUUUGGUACUAUUGUUCUUUGUUUAGUAAAAGUAUGUGAGUAGUUUAGUUAGUUCAGUUCUACAAUCUAGAAUUAUGAUUAUGAAUUGAGGAUGCUAGUUGAGUGACGUAGUUAGUAUUGUUAUUGAAUUUAUAGUUGAUUAUGAUUUGAGGAUUAUGGAUUGGGGAUGCUAAAGGUUGAUAAUUUCUAAAUUAGGAAUUGGUUAUGGUUCUAUUUUCUUAGAUUGGUUAAGAUUGAUUAGUGAUUUUUGUUACUGUUGUGAGGUUAUUCUUCGAGGAUAAUUUUGGGAGUGAAGUAUCAUUCGAGAUUAUGAAGGAGGUUGUAUCGUUCGAAUUCGCAAUGCGUAUGAGGAUGAUGGAAAUAAUGGCGGAUUAGAGUAACAAGCAUGCAUGAUACAUCGAGAAGCAUGCGUACAUGGAUAAUGAAAUUGAAGAAUAAUGAAAGAAUGACCUUAAGAUUGAUUUAGGUUUAUUUAAAGAGAGAUGUAUAUAUUAUGAUUUUAUGAUUUAAUUUUCAGUUUAACUAUUUAUAUUUUGGAUGCAAUAGUAUGUUUUUGAUUGAGUAUACUCUUUGGGUCGUUGAGUAUUUCUACCCAUUUAUAUCAAUAAUAUUAUUUUAUUUCCUCUUCAA